ensembl:lncRNA
AGAGAAACCCUCCAAUGCAGAGCACCGCGUUAUUCUUGGCCCCAUUUUACAGACGAAAAAAUCGAUAGGCAAACUCCAGGGUCCAAAAACUCAACAAAACCAGCACUCUGAACCAGCCCUCUUAACUCCUGGCAUGCAGCUCAACUCCCAGCAUCACCAAGCAGCCAAGUUGGGAAAGCCCUUACCAAUGGGGCAGGGUGGUGCAGUGGGCAUCGCCUCAGGCUCUUGCAGCGGCAGCCAGCCCUGAGUUCAGAUCCCUCUCCUGGAACGUAGAAGCUGUGUAGCCUUGGGCAAGCUACUUUAGUUCUUUGACCCUGUUUCCUCAUCAGUAGGAGAGAAAUAAUAAUAAUAUCUACCUCCGAGGGAUGCUGUGAGUACCUGAAGAAAUAAAGCGGGUAAAGCUCCUGGAUGGUAAGGAGGAAACUGAAGCUCAGAGGAACGGAGGCAUUUGCCCAAGGUCACGCAGCCAGUCAGCAGCAGAGCAGCAGCCUGAACACAUCGCUCCUGGGCUCGGUCCUGCGCGGGGACAGGACAAGAAAGCCGCUCACGGGGACUCCUCUCAGAGACCAGCGUGGUCAGAGGAAGCCUUUGAAAAGUUUGUUGGCGUUGGGUAAAGGGCAGAAGCCCCAAGGGACACGCAAGCCCAUCUCAUAAACCGCCUUCUAAGGAGAGGUUUUGUUUUGCUAACUUCGGGGCCAGAGGAGAAGCCAACCAGACGGCUCCCGCACCCCUUUCUCCACCCUGUCCGUUGCAGGCCCAGUCCCUGCUCUAAAUUAACAUGGAGCACACCUUUGAAGAGUGCUGGUUUGAUCUGUUAGCCAGUCUGGGUCACCAAUAGGCUUGAUGAGGUCCCCCCUAGAAACUUAUCCCCCAACAUCUGUGCUCGCUUCUUCCUUUAGUAAUAAAACCACACAUGGCCAUCCAGAAUAGAGAGUACACUUCAUUGCAGCCAAGAGUGAUGACUACCAUAUGAUUACCCUCCAGCCAAUGGGAUACAGUACAAGAAGAGGCUUUCCAAGGCACUGACGUCUUAGCAAAUGAAGCUGAGACCAUCACAAGAUCCUAGACGCCAAGCCUUCUGCCAUGACCGCAUGUGACUCUUUGAGAUGUCUUCCUCGGAGGGGCCGGGGGGGAGGCGGAUGUAUUUGCAGUGCAGAUGGAAGAGAGGACGGGCGUGUCGCACGGGGCUCAGAAUGAGGAGACACGUGGAGCAGAGCCCAGCAGAACUGCGGUUGCAGCCGCUGACACUCACGAGAGCAAGACAUGCAUGUGUUGUACACCACGGAAACGUUAGGGUUGUGUAUUAUGCAGCAAAGCUGACUUAUACAUCCACCCCUAGUUUCUGGGAAGGGCUGAGGGCUUUGAAGGAAAACAGACUUUGGCUCAAAUCCGAGCUCUGCCAAGUACCUAAUGCUGGGUGGCCUUGAGCAAGUCCCUCCGCCUCUUGGGACCCUGUUUUCCCCGUCUGUGAAAUGGGAUAAUAAUGGUGCUUGUACUUCAUGGGUUUGGGUGAGGAUUUGAUGGGAUAAAGCACGUAAAGGGCUUGGUGUUGAGAAAGGGCUCUGUUAAGAGGAGAGAGCACAAGCUGAGGCGUGGUCUUUUCCUUAGGGAGAAGGAUCAGCUGAGCUGCCGUUUCAGACCCCAGGCCUCCCCAGGGCCCGCUCCUGCGCCUCACGCUGGGAUUGCAACCUCUCUGAGUCAGCCCUGGCAAAGUACUGCUAAACAGCCUGCCUCGGGCCUCCGAAAGAAACCCUCCGCCACCAGAAACCACAAGAGCAGAAAACCCACAGCUUCAGAUGCUUUCGCCGGAGCUCGGAAAACUCACAACAAACGGCAAAUGCGUUGGUGCCGAUCUUAUCGAUGGAUGCCCUUCCUGUAAGACUGGAAAGAGAAAUUGGUCCAGUCUUCAAAGUCUGCCUGCUCUUGCCUGGACCGGACGACCUUGAACUUUCAGGCAAGCAGCCAUCUAAGAGGUCUGGGCACACGCAACUUCACAGCCGUGCACACGUGCAUGCACAACAACGCAUCCACCUGCACACAGGACUGAGUUAGCCGGAUCCCUGUUUAGAUGACUUUCAGGUCUUUUCCACGUUGCUGGUUUUGUUUGCAUCACGAGCGACGUGGAUGUGUCUCUGCGGUCUGUGCAGUGGGUGGCACUUUAGGCACUGACUUGGUUUGAGCUCCCCCCAGAGAGACUCGGAGACAAGGAUUCUGUUGCAAACUGUUUGUUUGAGUGGCGAUUCCAGGAAAUAUCAGGAAGGGAGUAGAGAAGGGAGACAGAGAGGGAAGUUAAUAAAAGGGUACAUUUUAUCAAGCAAAUUACCACGGUGGGCAACUGGGGCUCAGUUCUGCUGGGGAGCACGGGGGACCGUGCAGAGCAUGCCUCAGACUUAUCUCACCCGAGGCCAGAGAGCUGGAGUAUUUAUCCUCCAACCCCCGCCGGUCAGUGGUGGAGUGAUGCUCCAGGGGGAGUCAACUCCCUGGCACUUCUGAUUUGCCCCCACACUGGCCGAGCCAGCCCUGGUGGACAGACAAGUCCAGGGGCCGGCAGUGAGCAGGUCCAGGACCGGAGGGAGAUGAGCCAGGGGCCAAGGUUGCAAAAUAAGGA